rnacentral:tRNA from 2 species
GCCGACGUAGCUCAGAUGGCCAGAGCGCUCCGCUCAUGACGGAGAGGCCCCCGGUUCGAGGCCGGGCGUCGGCA